GCGGACGAGGACAAAUGGGUGAGUCGUCUCGCUUUCAACGAGAAAAUAGCGGGUUCAAUUCCCGCCGUCCGUA
rnacentral:tRNA from 1 species